GUUUAUAAUGGGUGUGUAUGGGACGGAAUGUUGGGGCUAGAGUGAGGCAGCUCAACUGCUAGAGUGAGAGGAGCAAAAAAAAUAAUCUUAAAAUCUUUUUUAAAACUGCUGCUGUGUCCGCAGCGUUUGCUCUACAGGUAUGAUUUUACCCUCAAAACGUAGCCAUGGCUGUCCUCUUUCAUCCAAUGUGUUUACUAUUGUACUAGGUGUUAUGGUUCUUUCAUAAAUGUCACCAAUGCACAGCCUCCUCCCUCCAACUCUUCCAUAGACUCUAAUGUUAAAAUGGCUCAGAAGGUUCGUUUGAAAAUCAGAAGAGCAUGGUGUCUUUCCACUGUCACCACGUCCAUAUAAUAAACUCCACAGACAUGAAAACUGAGAAUUCAGUAGACUAGACAUGGCUGUCGCUCACGGUGAAAGAAUUUUGUCAGUACGACAUGUACUUUUCAUUUGGGAACGAUUUGUUUCGGCCUGACUUUUCUGUUCAUUUUAAGCAGCAAAAGUGAGGUGCAUGUCUGUGUGCGUGUGUAUGGAGCCAUUGGGUGCGGUCACUAUAGCAACCAGGCUCACACCUGCCUGCUUAACGAGCUCUGCCUGCCACUGUACCAAGAUUCAUCUUAAACACUUCUCUUUCAACUGCUGCUGUGUCCACAGUGUUACAGCCAUCAUUUUACCCUCAAAACGUCGCCAUCGUUGUUCUCUUUCCAACAUCUUGUCUUUCAAAGCUCAGGCAUUUAAACUUUUUAAACUGUGUGGAUCAAAGUGGAGGGAUCACAUUUUAGUCAUUCAGUGAUUCAAAGAAUAUGACCUUUUAAUAUUCAUUCAGAUGUUUUCUGACUCUAAAUGUUCUUUUCUCAUUUCUUAGGGUUUUCUAAUUUACAAUUAAAACAUUUUCAGCUUUUUUCCAACUUCUUCUUCUGUGUAACCUUCAGCUUUUAGCAGUUCAGCACCUUUGUUUUCAG
ensembl:lncRNA